GAUGAAGAACGCAGCGAAAUGCGAUAAGUAGUGUGAAUUGCAGAAUUCAGUGAAUCAUCGAAUCUUUGAACGCACAUUGCGCCCUUUGGUAUUCCAAAGGGCAUGCCUGUUCGAGCGUCAUUUGUACCCUCAAGCUUUGCUUGGUGUUGGGCGUCUUGUCUCUAGCUUUGCUGGAGACUCGCCUUAAAGUUAUUGGCAGUCGACCUACUGGUUUCGGAGCGCAGCACAAGUCGCACUCUCUAUCAGCAAAGGUCUAGCAUCCAUUAAGCCUUUUUUUCAACUUUUGACCUCGGAUCAGGUAGGGAUACCCGCUGAACUUAAGCAUAUCAAUAAGCGGAGGA
rnacentral:misc_RNA from 1 species